rnacentral:sRNA from 1 species
UUAAUUUUGUUGUGGAGGUUGAGAGUAGGAACUCGGAGUGGCUUAACAUUGUCAUGGCAGAUGCAGAGAACUCGAAAUGGCAUCCCGAGCUUGUAGUGUCAAGGAAAUGCUAUGAAAAUUACAUCACCGAUUUGGGUUUGAAACCGCGCUUGAAUACACGUUGAAGCUAAUAGAUUGUCUGAUAGUUUUUCCGUCGCUGGAAAUGCAAAUGCAGCUCCUCCAUUACGACAUCAGAUAUGUGCAUUGCUUUGUUAUAGUGGACAAGAAGGGGAUGGCACCGGCAAAGACGGGGAUUCCGAGCAGUCGACUGCACGUAAUAGCAGGCCUCUCUCAUCUUCUCAACGUGAAGCUUCCUCACAAAACUAUAGCUGGAGUUCAGAGCACAAAUGCUGUUCCAUGUUUUUGUGAUUAUUUUGUUUUUUCUCAUGUUACUGAGUGUCUGUAUUGGCAGAAAGUUGAUUAGAUUCUAGAUGCCUUGAUUGCUCAUAUGGU